rnacentral:tRNA from 1 species
GGAGGAUACUAUGGCUCAGGGGUAGAGCAUCUGCUUGGCAUGCAUAAGAUCAUGGGUUUGAUCCCCAGCAUCUCCA